rnacentral:rRNA from 1 species
UGGGGAAUCUUGCACAAUGGAGGAAACUCUGAUGCAGCGACGCCGCGUGAGCGAUGAAGCCCUUCGGGGUGUAAAGCUCUUUCGACGGGAACGAUAAUGACGGUACCCGAAGAAGAAGCUGCGGCUAACUACGUGCCAGCAGCCGCGGUAAUACGUAGGCAGCGAGCGUUGUUCGGAGUUACUGGGCGUAAAGGGUGUGUAGGCGGUUCUUUAAGUUUGGUGUGAAAUCUCCCGGCUCAACCGGGAGGGUGCGCCGAAUACUGAGGGACUAGAGUGCGGGAGAGGAAAGUGGAAUUCCUGGUGUAGCGGUGAAAUGCGUAGAUAUCAGGAGGAACACCGGUGGUGUAGACGGCUUUCUGGACCGUAACUGACGCUGAGACACGAAAGCGUGGGUAGCAAACAGGAUUAGAUACCCCCGUAGUCC